CGCGGGAUUAGAGUUUGAUCCUGGCUCAGGAUGAACGCUGUGCGGCGUGCCUAACACAUGCAAGUCGAACGUCCUGUCUCGCAAGAGGCAGGGAGUGGCGGACGGGUGAGUACCACGUGGGUCAUCUACCGUGAGGUGAGGAAUACCGGCGAGAAAUCGCCGACAAGACCGCAUAGCCUCGGUGCAAGUCGAGGAAAGCUCUCUCGAGAGAGGGAGCGCCACACGAGGAGCCUGCGCCCGAUUAGCUAGCUGGUGGAGUAAUGGUUCACCAGGGCGACGAUCGGUAGCUGGUCUGAGAGGACGAUCAGCCACACUGGGAUUGAGAACGGCCCAGACUCCUACGGGGGGCAGCAGUGAGGAAUUUUCGUCAAUGGGGGCAACCCUGAACGAGCAACGCCGCGUGCAGGAAGAAGGUUUUCGGAUCGUAAACUGCUUUUCUCGGGGAAGAGAACGGACGGUACCCGAGGAAUCAGCCCCGGCUAACUACGUGCCAGCAGCCGCGGUAAUACGUAGGGGGCAAGCGUUGUCCGGAGUUUACUGGGCGUAAAGCGCACGCAGGCGGUUCUUUCAGUUCCUGGUGACAGUCGUCGGCUUCUCUGACGAAGGAGUGGGAAGACCGGAGAACUUGAUGGCUUCAGAGGGACACGGAAUUCCG
rnacentral:rRNA from 1 species